UACGGAGGGAGCUAGCGUUAUUCGGAAUUACUGGGCGUAAAGCGCACGUAGGCGGCUUUGUAAGUUAGAGGUGAAAGCCCGGAGCUCAACUCCGGAACUGCCUUUAAGACUGCAUCGCUUGAAUCCAGGAGAGGUGAGUGGAAUUCCGAGUGCAGAGGUGAAAUUCGUAGAUAUUCGGAAGAACACCAGUGGCGAAGGCGGCUCACUGGACUGGUAUUGACGCUGAGGUGCGAAAGCGUGGGGAGCAAACAGG
rnacentral:rRNA from 1 species